rnacentral:lncRNA from 1 species
CUGAAAGGUUUUUUUGGGUAUAUACCCAGGAGUGAAUUUCUCAGUCAUGUGAUAAUUCUAUAUUCAAGUGUUUUUUAGGAUAGCCUGUUUUCCACAGUGGCUGAUUCUUUUGUGGUUGUUGGGAAGUUAUUUUACGUCAGAUCUAGGGUGAUACUUACUCCAGAGCUACUUUCGUCUCACUUUUAAGGCAUGGCCUUUCUGAGAUUUCCACUGAGGCUGGCUUCAGUGGAAAUUGGCUUCUGUAUCCAAGAAGGUCCCUCUCCCCAUAUUCUGGUUGGAGAGUCAAAUAAUUCCUGUUACAGGAUGAGCUUUGGAAAUUGUUCAUCUUUCAGUUCUCUAGCAACUGCUUUUUCCCUUGGUAGUUGUUAUGGGGUGACCUGGUGAUGUUUUAUUUUGUGGAUGUGUAGAUUGGAAUUCAGCCAAGGACUGAAGUCGCUCUCUGUUCCUUGUCUUGAGCAGCAGAGUUCUCGGCACAGUUGGGGCGGCCCAUGAACCGCAGGAUUGGAAAGGGGAAGUGAAGGCUCGCAAGCUGUUCUCAGCGGAGCUGCCCUGCCCUGCCCUCUGCUGGCUCCCGGUGGGCGUGCCGUAGCCUGGCCCCGCGGCUCCAGCUCCCAAGCCCCGGGAAGUGUGUUCAGCUUUGCUAUCAAGGUGCCAGCGUCACUUGAAACGAUCUUCCACGCUGAAGUUGGGGCUGUGAGAGGCUGAGGUGGGUUUCAGCCUGUCAGCCAUGUCCCUUCUCAGCCUAGCAGUUUCUGUUUUUUUUUUCCUUACUCUUUCCCACUCACAUCCAUCUUUCCCACACCAAAUCCCAGAAACUCCCAUCAGGUCAACUGCUGUAAUAAAUCUCAUGCUGUGUACAUCACUCCCGUGGGGUGGGGUGUGCUUCUCUGAUUGAACGCUCAGGAUCACCAGGUGUGGCAGCAUUUUUGCACUCAUGCAUUUGUAAGGAGUCUCGCUGCAAAAUAAAUAAAUAAAAUAAAAUAAUAAAAUAAAAUAAUAAAAUAAAAUAAAAUUAUGGUUUUCUGUAGAAAUUAAGAUGCAUUUAUACUAUUCACACACCAAACAAGUAUUGCUUAGGUUCGCUAAGUAUCUAUAGCAAAUUCUCUCAGUAGUUCGAGAGUCCAUAAAUACACCUUUUUCAUUUUUCUUUUCUUUUACUGUUGUCUUAAAACUUUUAUUUUUCAAUACUGG